rnacentral:lncRNA from 1 species
AAUGCUAUAUAAAGCCAUGCACAGGUAAUGUAGAAUGACAAAACAAAGCAAACAACAAAACCAACGCAGUGAGGCGUUGGACAAGCAAUCAAAAUAAGAAUGAUAUCUUCUCCAGGGAUGGGGCGUUCUGCCCAUCUUGUUUAUGCUCUUGGUUUUAUUAUCAUGGCCACAAUGGUUGCUGCGUCUUAUGAGCCCUACACGUAUAGCUCACCACCACCACCAUUGUAUGACUCUCCUACACCAAAGGUUGACUAUAAGUCUCCACCACCUCCAUACGUUUACAGUUCUCCACCACCUCCACUAUCGUAUUCGCCAUCUCCCAAGGUAGACUACAAGUCUCCACCACCUCCAUAUGUUUACAGCUCUCCACCACCACCAUAUUACUCACCAUCCCCUAAAGUCGAAUACAAAUCCCCACCACCUCCAUAUGUUUAUAGUUCUCCACCACCACCAUAUUACUCACCCUCACCUAAAGUAGAUUACAAGUCUCCACCACCACCGUAUGUUUACAGCUCCCCACCACCACCAUACUAUUCACCUUCUCCAAAGCCCACAUACAAAUCACCACCACCUCCAUAUGUUUACAAUUCUCCACCACCACCAUACUACUCACCAUCCCCUAAGGUCGAAUACAAAUCUCCACCACCUCCAUACGUCUAUAGCUCUCCACCCCCACCAUACUACUCACCCUCACCUAAAGUAGAUUAUAAGUCUCCACCACCACCGUAUGUUUACAACUCUCCACCACCACCAUACUAUUCACCUUCUCCAAAACCCACAUACAAGUCCCCACCACCACCAUAUAUUUACAGCUCUCCACCACCACCAUACUAUUCUCCUUCUCCUAAACCAGUAUACAAAUCUCCACCACCACCAUACGUCUAUUCCUCUCCACCACCACCAUACUAUUCACCUUCUCCUAAACCAGCAUACAAAUCUCCACCACCACCGUAUGUUUAUAGCUCUCCACCUCCUCCAUACUACUCGCCUUCUCCUAAACCCAUAUACAAGUCUCCACCACCACCGUACGUCUACAACUCUCCUCCACCACCAUACUACUCUCCUUCUCCAAAACCGGCAUACAAAUCUCCACCACCACCAUACGUAUACAGCUUUCCACCUCCUCCAUACUACUCGCCUUCUCCUAAACCCGUAUACAAGUCUCCACCACCACCAUACGUCUACAACUCUCCUCCACCACCAUACUACUCUCCUUCUCCAAAACCGGCAUACAAAUCUCCACCACCACCAUACGUAUACAGCUCUCCACCACCACCAUACUACUCGCCUUCUCCUAAACCAACAUACAAAUCUCCACCACCACCAUAUGUUUAUAGCUCUCCACCUCCUCCAUACUACUCGCCUUCUCCUAAACCCGUAUACAAGUCUCCACCACCACCGUACAUCUACAACUCUCCACCACCACCAUACUACUCCCCUUCACCUAAACCAUCAUACAAAUCCCCACCACCACCAUAUGUUUACAGCUCUCCACCACCACCAUAUUACUCGCCUUCUCCUAAGCUUACAUACAAAUCCUCACCACCACCCUAUGUUUACAGCUCUCCACCACCACCAUAUUACUCUCCUUCUCCUAAGGUUGUAUACAAAUCUCCACCACCACCAUAUGUUUACAGCUCUCCACCACCACCAUACUACUCCCCUUCACCUAAACCAUCAUACAAAUCCCCACCACCACCGUACGUCUAUAACUCUCCACCUCCUCCUUACUACUCUCCUUCACCUAAGGUCAUAUACAAAUCGCCACCACACCCACAUGUAUGUGUUUGUCCCCCACCUCCACCAUGCUACUCUCAUUCU